rnacentral:rRNA from 1 species
AGUGAACGCUGGCGGUAGGCCUAACACAUGCAAGUCGAACGGCAGCACAGUAAGAGCUUGCUCUUACGGGUGGCGAGUGGCGGACGGGUGAGGAAUACAUCGGAAUCUACUUUUUCGUGGGGGAUAACGUAGGGAAACUUACGCUAAUACCGCAUACGACCUACGGGUGAAAGCAGGGGAUCUUCGGACCUUACGCGAUUGAAUGAGCCGAUGUCGGAUUAGCUAGUUGGCGGGGUAAAGGCCCACCAAGGCGACGAUCCGUAGCUGGUCUGAGAGGAUGAUCAGCCACACUGGAACUGAGACACGGUCCAGACUCCUACGGGAGGCAGCAGUGGGGAAUAUUGGACAAUGGGCGCAAGCCUGAUCCAGCCAUACCGCGUGGGUGAAGAAGGCCUUCGGGUUGCAAAGCCCUUUUGUUGGGAAAGAAAAGCAGCAGGUUAAUACCCCGCUGUUCUGACGGUACCCAAAGAAUAAGCACCGGCUAACUUCGUG